rnacentral:rRNA from 1 species
UACGUAGGGUCCGAGCGUUGUCCGGAAUUACUGGGCGUAAAGGGCUCGUAGGCGGUCUGUCGCGUCGGUAGUGAAAACUCAGGGCUCAACCCUGAGCGUGCUUUCGAUACGGGCAGACUAGAGGUAUGCAGGGGAGAAUGGAAUUCCUGGUGUAGCGGUGGAAUGCGCAGAUAUCAGGAGGAACACCGGUGGCGAAGGCGGUUCUCUGGGCAUUACCUGACGCUGAGGAGCGAAAGCAUGGGGAGCGAACAGGAUUAGAUACCCGU